CAUGAACGCUAGCUACAGGCUUAACACAUGCAAGUCGAGGGGCAGCAUGUCGGUUGCUUGCAACCGAUGAUGGCGACCGGCGCACGGGUGAGUAACGCGUAUCCAACCUACCCUUGUCCAUCGGAUACCCGUCGAAAGGCGGCCUAACACGAUAUGCGGUUCACAGCAGGCAUCUAACGUGAACGAAAUGUGAAGGAGAAGGAUGGGGAUGCGUCGGAUUAGCUUGUUGGCGGGGUAACGGCCCACCAAGGCUACGAUCAGUAGGGGUUCUGAGAGGAAGGUCCCCCACAUUGGAACUGAGACACGGUCCAAACUCCUACGGGAGGCAGCAGUGAGGAAUAUUGGUCAAUGGACGAGAGUCUGAACCAGCCAAGUAGCGUGCAGGAUGACGGCCCUAUGGGUUGUAAUCUGCUUUUAUAGGGGGAUAAAGUGUGCCACGUGUGGCAUAUUGCAGGUGCCCUAUGAAUAAGGACCGGCUAAUUCCGUGCCAGCCGCCGCCGUAAAAC
rnacentral:rRNA from 1 species